rnacentral:rRNA from 1 species
AUUGAACGCUGGCGGCGUGCUUAACACAUGCAAGUCGAUCGGUAACGCGGGGGCAACCCUGGCGACGAGAGGCGGACGGGUGAGGAACGCUUGGGAAUCUGCCUAUCAGCGGGGGACAACCCGGGGAAACUCGGGCUAAUACCGCAUACGCUCUACGGAGGAAAGCCGGGGACCGCAAGGCCUGGCAACGAUAGAUGAGCCAAAGUCGGAUUAGCUAGUUGGCGGGGUAACGGCCCACCAAGGCGACGAUCCGUAGCUGGUCUGAGAGGACGAUCAGCCACACUGGGACUGAGACACGGCCCAGACUCCUACGGGAGGCAGCUGUGGGGAAUAUUGGACAAUGGGGAAACCCUGAUCCAGCGACGCCGCGUGGGUGAAGAAGGCCUGCGGGUUGUAAAGCCCUUUCGGUAGGGACGAAAGCUCUCGACCUAACACGUCGGGAGGUUGACUUAACCUACAAAAGAAGCACCGGCUAACUCUGUGCCAGCCGCCGCCGUAACAC